AGCGAACGCUGGCGGCAGGCCUAACACAUGCAAGUCGAACGAGCUCUUCGGAGUUAGUGGCGGACGGGUGAGUAACACGUGGGAACGUGCCUUUAGGUUCGGAAUAACUCAGGGAAACUUGUGCUAAUACCGAAUGUGCCCUUCGGGGGAAAGAUUUAUCGCCUUUAGAGCGGCCCGCGUCUGAUUAGCUUGUUGGUGGGGUAAUGGCCCACCAAGGCGACGAUCAGUAGCUGGUCUGAGAGGAUGACCAGCCACAUUGGGACUGAGACACGGCCCAAACUCCUACGGGAGGCAGCAGUGGGGAAUCUUGCGCAAUGGGCGAAAGCCUGACGCAGCCAUGCCGCGUGGAUGAUGAAGGUCUUAGGAUUGUAAAAUCCUUUCACCGGUGAAGAUAAUGACUGUAGCCGGAGAAGAAGCCCCGGCUAACUUCGUGCCAGCAGCCGCCGUAA
rnacentral:rRNA from 1 species